rnacentral:piRNA from 1 species
UUUUGAGAAAUUGUAAAAAGU